rnacentral:rRNA from 1 species
ACGGGAGGCAGCAGUGGGGAAUAUUGCACAAUGGGGGAAACCCUGAUGCAGCGACGCCGCGUGAGUGAAGAAGUGUUUCGGUAUGUAAAGCUCUAUCAGCAGGAAAGAAAAUGACGGUACCUGACUAAGAAGCCCCGGCUAACUACGUGCCAGCAGCCGCGGUAAUACGUAGGGGGCAAGCGUUAUCCAGAUUUACUGGGUGUAAAGGGAGCGUAGACGGUUUUGCAAGUCUGAAGUGAAAUGCCGGGGCUCAACCCCGGAACUGCUUUGGAAACUGUAGAACUAGAGUGCAGGAGAGGUAAGUGGAAUUCCUAGUGUAGCGGUGAAAUGCGUAGAUAUUAGGAGGAACACCAGUGGCGAAGGCGGCUUACUGGACUGUAACUGACGCUGAAGCUCGAAAGUGCGGGUAUCGAACAGGAUUAGAUACCCUGGUA